GGGCGCAUAGCUCAGCUGGUAGAGCAGUUGGCUCUUAACCAAUUGGUCGGAGGUUCGAGUCCUCCUGCGCCCACCA
rnacentral:tRNA from 1 species